CGCCUCCCUUCACCCGGACUCCGCCAUUGAAAGCUUUUCACUCAGUGAGAGGGAGACCUUUGUUUCAAAGAGAUAGAAAUGCAAAUAUUAGUGCCCAGGCAAAUACAUGAAGGGAUCAGUUUCAAGCUGAUGAUUCCACCAGCCAAAUUUAAAGUGCAGGUAUCUCCUUCUAACUGACAGCAAGUAUGACUUUACUCACAGUGAGCAGAGAUACAGACAGAACAUCAUUUCCACCAUCAACACGAACAGAAAUAGUCAGGGUCAAAUUGAAGUCAUGGCUGAAAAAAUUCAAUAGUCAAACACUCAGAGGGGAGCUGCAUUGGGUAGACGGUUGGAAUAAUCACAAUACACUCCUAUUCAGUACCUCUGAAUGGCAGGUCCACCAAUUUUAGUCCAAACUCACAGCCAUUAUCAGAUUGAAGUGUACUCCAUGCAAGUCACAAGAGUGGAACAUUGGCAGCAAUUCAAAUAGCAGGGAAUAAAGAUGAAUGAAAUUUA